rnacentral:rRNA from 1 species
GACGAACGCUGGCGGCGUGCCUAAUACAUGCAAGUAGAACGCUGAAGGAGGAGCUUGCUUCUCUGGAUGAGUUGCGAACGGGUGAGUAACGCGUAGGUAACCUGCCUGGUAGCGGGGGAUAACUAUUGGAAACGAUAGCUAAUACCGCAUAAGAGUGGAUGUUGCAUGACAUUUGCUUAAAAGGUGCAAUUGCAUCACUACCAGAUGGACCUGCGUUGUAUUAGCUAGUUGGUGGGGUAACGGCUCACCAAGGCGACGAUACAUAGCCGACCUGAGAGGGUGAUCGGCCACACUUGGACUGGGACACGGCCCAGACUCCUACGGGAGGCAGCAGUAGGGAAUCUUCGGCAAUGGACGGAAGUCUGACCGAGCAACGCCGCGUGAGUGAAGAAGGUUUUCGGAUCGUAAAGCUCUGUUGUAAGAGAAGAACGAGUGUGAGAGUGGAAAGUUCACACUGUGACGGUAUCUUACCAGAAAGGGACGGCUAACUACGUG